UCCCUGGUGGCUCAGAGGGUAAAGCAUCUGCCCACAAUGUAGGAGACCCAGGUUCAAACCCUGGGUUGGGAA
rfam:TPA: Bos taurus chromosome 20, whole genome shotgun sequence.